rnacentral:rRNA from 1 species
CCCUUAGAUGUUCUGGGCCGCACGCGUGCUACACUGAGUAAUUCAAUGGGUAAGGGAACGCUAGAGCAUUACCUAAUCUUGAAAUUUGCUCGUGAUGGGGAUCGACGGUUGCAAUUUUCCGUCGUGAACGAGGAAUACCUUGUAGGCGCAUGUCAUCAUCAUGCGCCGAAUACGUCCCUGCCCUUUGUACACACCGCCCGUCGCUCCUACCGAUUGAGUGAUCCGGUGAGGCUCUGGGACCUGGACGGAAAGAGCGUUUCGCUUGUUCUGUUUGGGAAAAUUGGUCGAACCUUAUCAUUUAGAGGAAGGAGAAGUCGUAACA